AUACCUUUUUCGGCCUUUUGGCUAAGAGCAAGUGUAGUAUCUGUUUUUAUCAGUUUAAUAUCUGAUAUGUGGGCCAUGUGCCCACAACGAUAUUAAAUUUAUUUUUUGUGGGGAGGGUCCACAACAUUAGCUUGCUAGUGAGGCCCUCACGUGUCACUUGGGUGUUGUAUUACUGCCCAGGCCAGGCUCACCCCAA
rfam:Triticum aestivum genome assembly, contig: Triticum_aestivum_CS42_TGACv1_scaffold_543083_6DS